CCUACGGGCGGCAGCAGUGAGGAAUAUUGGUCAAUGGACGAGAGUCUGAACCAGCCAAGUAGCGUGAAGGAUGACUGCCCUAUGGGUUGUAAACUUCUUUUAUAUGGGAAUAAAAUGUUCCACGUGUGGGAUUUUGUCUGUACCAUAUGAAUAAGGAUCGGCUAACUCCGUGCCAGCAGCCGCGGUAAUACGUAGGAUCCGAGCGUUAUCCGGAUUUAUUGGGUUUAAAGGGAGCGUAGGUGGGUUGUUAAGUCAGUUGUGAAAGUUUGCGGCUUAACCGUAAAAUUGCAGUUGAAACUGGCAGUCUGGAGUACAGUAGAGGUGGGCGGAAUUCGUGGUGUAGCGGUGAAAUGCUUAGAUAUCACGAAGAACUCCGAUUGCGAAGGCAGCUCACUGGACUGCAACUGACACUGAGGCUCGAAAGUGUGGGUAUCAAACAGGAUUAGAUACCCUAGUAGUC
rnacentral:rRNA from 1 species